CAAUGAUUGUAAAGACAUUAUCGCCUUGGUUCAAAUCUGAAUCAUUUAUAUCAUAUAUCAAUGAGGAAGAACCAUAAGCCUGGGACUAAGUGUGUUCUCAUGACUCCGAUCUUUCUACUCACUUGCUCCAUAGCCUUGGGAACCCCUCUCUUGACAACUUCACAAGAUGGUGGCCACACAAAAUGGAAAGAAGAGAGACAGGAUUCCUGCCUCCCAGGGCCUAUAGUCCUAAUGGGAAGAGAUGAGAAAAUGGAAAAUGAAGACACAGGUGUAAGAAAAUUUUCUGAGGAAGCCAAGUCUCUACCUGGCCCGGAGGGACAAGGAGAACUGCUGAACAUCAUUAGGUGACCAUUAAUUUUAUCCUUUAAAGAGCUACAUGCUAAUGAUGAGUGAGUUGGAAAACACACCAAUCAGUCACAAUUGUCACUGACAUAUUGAGAAAGUAUAUGACAUCAAACUAGGUACCUGAAUGCCAAUUUUGUUGUUGUUAUAACCUCUGAACUGUACUGAAAUCAACAUCUGAGCAGUCAGCCCCUGACUCGGCAUUUGGAUUAUGGAAAAAGAAGAAUCUCCCCAGGAGGUGGACAUGGGGAAGUUACAUGGAGAACACCAGGCUGGGGAACUACUCCAAGAGUACGGGUUAAUCAAGAAGCACUUCCCAUUCCCCAAAUAGAGGAACAUCACAACAUCUGCCAGUUCAUAGACCUGUACAUCAAGAUGAGUCACAUCCAGAUCUGAUGUGGACACCACUGAGCAUUACCAUCCAAUAUAGAGACAUUCUUGCAUCACCCACAGCCCCUAGAUUUUCAGCUGGUGACUAAGUGUCUACAUAGAAUUUUUGGUUUGUCUCCCAUGGGAUGGCAUGAGAGUACUUUGCCUGUGUAUGGGGGAGAAUGACUUAAUCUGUUUUGUUCACUAUUAUAUUCCCAGGCCCUGUAAGAUCAGAAGGAGUGUUCAGUAAAUGUUCAUUAAAUAAAAUGAAUGUCGCCUGCCAAGUGUCAUUUACCUUUAGUGGCAUGCCUUCCACCACUAGAAGCUGGAAGAGGGGAGAAAAGGUUCUCCCUAGUAUCUCUGAAGGAAGCAUGGCCUUACCAACAUCUUUAUUUCAGCAUAGCAAUACAGAUUUCAGACUUCAG